UGAGUAACACAUAUCCAACCUGCCGUCUACUCUUGGACAGCCUUCUGAAAGGAAGAUUAAUACAAGAUGGCAUCAUGAGUCCGCAUGUUCACAUGAUUAAAGGUAUUCCGGUAGACGAUGGGGAUGCGUUCCAUUAGAUAGUAGGCGGGGUAACGGCCCACCUAGUCUUCGAUGGAUAGGGGUUCUGAGAGGAAGGUCCCCCACAUUGGAACUGAGACACGGUCCAA
rnacentral:rRNA from 1 species